GGCCUUAACACAUGCAAGUCGAACGGUAACAGGAAGCAGCUUGCUGCUUUGCUGACGAGUGGCGGACGGGUGAGUAAUGUCUGGGAAACUGCCUGAUGGAGGGGGAUAACUACUGGAAACGGUGGCUAAUACCGCAUAACGUCGCAAGACCAAAGAGGGGGACCUUCGGGCCUCUUGCCAUCAGAUGUGCCCAGAUGGGAUUAGCUUGUUGGUGAGGUAACGGCUCACCAAGGCGACGAUCCCUAGCUGGUCUGAGAGGAUGACCAGCCACACUGGAACUGAGACACGGUCCAGACUCCUACGGGAGGCAGCAGUGGGGAAUAUUGCACAAUGGGCGCAAGCCUGAUGCASCCAUGCCGCGUGUAUGAAGAAGGCCUUCGGGUUGUAAAGUACUUUCAGCGGGGAGGAAGGUGUUGUGGUUAAUAACCGCAGCAAUUGACGUUACCCGCAGAAGAAGCACCGGCUAACUCCGUGCCAGCAGCCGCGGUAAUACGGAGGGUGCAAGCGUUAAUCGGAAUUACUGGGCGUAAAGCGCACGCAGGCGGUCUGUCAAGUCGGAUGUGAAAUCCCCGGGCUCAACCUGGGAACUGCAUUCGAAACUGGCAGGCUUGAGUCUUGUAGAGGGGGGUAGAAUUCCAGGUGUAGCGGUGAAAUGCGUAGAGAUCUGGAGGAAUACCGGUGGCGAAGGCGSCCCCCUGGACAAAGACUGACGCUCAGGUGCGAAAGCGUGGGGAGCAAACAGGAUUAGAUACCCUGGUAGUCCACGCCGUAAACGAUGUCUACUUGGAGGUUGUGCCCUUGAGGCGUGGCUUCCGGAGCUAACGCGUUAAGUACACCGCCUGGGGAGUACGGCCGCAAGGUUAAAACUCAAAUGAUUGACGGGGCCCGCACAAGCGGUGAGCAUGUGUUUAUUCGAUGCACGCAAAGACCUUACCUGGUCUUGACAUCCACAGAAUUUCAGAGAUGAAAUGGUGCCUUCGGAACUGUGAGACAGGUGCUGCAUGGCUGUCGUCAGCUCGUGUGAGAAUGUGGGAUAGUCCCGCAACGAGCCACCUUUAUUCUUUUGCCAGCGAU
rnacentral:rRNA from 1 species